rnacentral:lncRNA from 1 species
UUUUUUUCGCCUGUCAGAUUUACUUGCCAUAACUCUUUUCAUUUUAAAUCUUCUCGAACUAAAAAGUAUAGCAGCAUCGAUAACAAAAAACACGACAAGUUCACGUCUUUAGAAAUUUAACAAUCGUAAACUUGGGGAAAAUCCAGUAAAGGAGAAUCCCAGGGUUGAAUUCAAUAUCGUAGCAGCUACGUAGUGCUACGUAGAUUUUGACUAUUGAACGUAUAGCUAUAGACUAGUUGCUACAUAGAUAUUGAUAGAGACUACGUAGCCGCUACGUAGCAGCUACGAUAUUGAACUCAACUCAAAGGGUGACAAUAAUGUAUCAUGGUCCAAUUAGUUACUCGAGUUACAAUAUUGAAACAAACUUUGCAUAAUCUGAAAAAAACCCAUCUAAAUUGACAAGGUUAAUGCCAGAAAAAAGUUCUUAAAUAUAUUUUUUCUUCUCAGAUUAACUUGCUAUAACUCUUUUCAUUUUAAUUCUUCUCGAACUACCAAGUAAACCUGCCUCUAUCAAAAGAACGACAACUUCACGUUUAAUGUCAGAGAUCUCAAAUGUUCUUUCCAUGCCAACUAUCAUCAUUGUCAUUAGAUACUGAGAUAGUGUUAGAAGCAAUGGGGGAAGCUGGUUAAGUCAAAGCAAAUAGUAAAGUAAUUUCGCGAUUAUCUGAUAUUUUCCAACUAAUUAAUUAGCGUUCCUCUCUGUCCUUUUCCAUAUCUACACAUUUAUCCUCUUCGAUCAUGUUUAGUUUUUUCUUUUUACUUUUAAUUUAUCCAUCCUUUCCCAUUUCAUCAUUUCAAAAUAUCUGCAAUACAUC